UACGGAGGGUGCAAGCGUUAAUCGGAAUUACUGGGCGUAAAGCGUGCGCAGGCGGUUUGUUAAGUCUGCUGUGAAAUCCCCGAGCUCAACUUGGGAAUUGCAGUGGAUACUGGCAGGCUGGAGUAUGGUAGAGGAAGGUGGAAUUCCCGGUGUAGCAGUGAAAUGCGUAGAGAUCGGGAGGAACACCAGUGGCGAAGGCGGCCUUCUGGACCAAUACUGACGCUCAUGCACGAAAAGCGUGGGGAGCAAACAGG
rnacentral:rRNA from 1 species